GGGAACUUCAGAAACACCACUCACCCGCCAUUGGGAUCACGGUUCUUCAGCCCGACACAGAACAGCUCGACCUGACGUCUGUUGUGGUCAUUUGUCCCGCUUUUAUAGCGAGCUCAGCGUAUCUGUAUCUGAGGGUGAAUACAGUUCUUCUCUGCUCUGGAAGAUUCGAUGAGCCGCUGUGUUUACUCAGUGUCACCUUACUGACGUCACCUGUCAGGUCUCUUAUUCUCUCAGCAGCUUCUGCACAGCUUGCAUCAGACAACCUGCAGGGAAAUUACUGAUUUUCACUGUUUAAUGUUUAAGAUGUGAGUUCAAUAAUCACAGUUGAUGAUCAUUCAGUGUGAUCUUGUUCCGUCCUUCCUGUGAGGAGGAGUUAAUGCAAAAGCCAGAUGUUCCCCAGCUCUACUUAACUGUCUGCAGAGAUGACGACAGGGACAGUGGAUGCAGAUUAACACGAUGGCCUAUAGGACAGGGCUGAUGCUGUUAACCCUCUGCUGGGCAGGUGUUGACACCCAGACUUUGACACAGUCUGAAGCAGUGGUUAAAAGGCCUGGAGAUUCCCACACACUGACCUGUACAGUGUCUGGCUUUAAUGUCUAUAGCUACUACAUGAGCUGGGUCAAACAGGCUCCUGGAAAAG